rnacentral:rRNA from 1 species
GGAUACGGUGUUGGCCCGUUGAAUACACCAGUUUCCAAUGGAUCAUUGAACAGCUACGUUGCGCGUGGUUAGUAUCCGGAUGGGUGACCAUCUGGCAAUUGCGCUCUGCUUGCU